rnacentral:lncRNA from 1 species
GCUCACUUUUCUUUCCAUCUCUCUCGCCCUCUCUCUCUCUGAUUCUAUAAUUCUACUUUUUUUUUCUUUAGUAUUUCACCUAUAAUACUCCAAAGUCUUGCCCCGUUUUAAGUGUUUUAACCCCUGAUCACUGAUUUGAUACCCUGUCCGAUCGAUCUUGAACCCAUCAACGAAUGCCAAGGUGCUGCCUGAUAAAGGCUAUGCUUUGUAAACUACGUUGGGGUUCUGAUCUUGUGAUGUAUUGAUAAAGUUGAAUUGGGUUAUUACACUAAACACGAGUGCAUUAUAUAUUUUAUUUAAUAGCUUAAGAGUUAUACCCAAGAUUAUACCAGGAGACUUUUAGUUGAACCCUAAAGUUACAAAGUGAGUCAUUCUCUCUUUUUAUCAAACUGCUUUGCAGAACCUUAAAUGUUUUUCAUAUGUGGGAAUGCUUUCAAAAUCCUAUUUGCUUUACAAGUAGAUAUAAAUUAUAAUGACAAAUAAUUAUAAUUGUAUAAAUAAAAAUUAUAUAUAUAUAAGUAGCACAAACAAGGUUAAUGUGUAGAUAUUUAAAUGUGCUACUUAAAUUGAAAACCCUAUGUAUAUUAACUUAUGUAUUUAUAAAAACUUUGAUUUAUGUAUCUGUAAAAUACAUAGGGAUACAGGUUAUGUAUAUUAUAACAUGUUAUAAUGAAACUUAAAUAUAUAACACUAUAUAUUAACUUAAUAAAACAUAUGUAUAUUAAGUAUGUGCACUCCAUAGUGUUAUAAAAUUAUAUACAUAUCAAAACACCAUAAAUACUAUAUCCUUAUAUUUAAUGGGGCUAUAAUAAAAUAUAAUGCAUUGACUAUAUAUAUAUAGGGUAAAGUUCUUGUACAAAUAAUUUUAACAUACUAAACAUACAAAUUGAAGGAAAACUCAAAAAGACAAGGUGACAUUUUUGUAAUUAUCAAUAACUAUCAAAGUUACUCUACAAAUAUACCUAAAAAAACCUAACCACUCCCCCCACCCCCAAAAAAAACCUAACCCCCCCAC